rnacentral:rRNA from 1 species
GGGGCUACCGGAUACUGAUCGCCUUGGGCAUCCUUGGUGAUCGAAAGCUCCGGCGGUGCAGGAUGAGCCCGCGGCCUAUCAGCUUGUUGGUGAGGUAAUGGCUCACCAAGGCGACGACGGGUAGCCGGCCUGAGAGGGCGACCGGCCACACUGGGACUGAGACACGGCCCAGACUCCUACGGGAGGCAGCAGUGGGGAAUAUUGCACAAUGGGCGAAAGCCUGAUGCAGCGACGCCGCGUGAGGGAUGACGGCCUUCGGGUUGUAAACCUCUUUCAGCAGGGAAGAAGCGAAAGUGACGGUACCUGCAGAAGAAGCGCCGGCUAACUACGUGCCAGCAGCCGCGGUAAUACGUAGGGCGCGAGCGUUGUCCGGAAUUAUUGGGCGUAAAGAGCUCGUAGGCGGCUUGUCGCGUCGGUUGUGAAAGCCCGGGGCUUAACCCCGGGUCUGCAGUCGAUACGGGCAGGCUAGAGUUCGGUAGGGGAGAUCGGAAUUCCUGGUGUAGCGGUGAAAUGCGCAGAUAUCAGGAGGAACACCGGUGGCGAAGGCGGAUCUCUGGGCCGAUACUGACGCUGAGGAGCGAAAGCGUGGGGAGCGAACAGGAUUAGAUACCCUGGUAGUCCACGCCGUAAACGGUGGGCACUAGGUGUGGGCGACAUUCCACGUCGUCCGUGCCGCAGCUAACGCAUUAAGUGCCCCGCCUGGGGAGUACGGCCGCAAGGCUAAAACUCAAAGUUGACGGGGGCCCGCACAAGCGGCGGAGCAUGUGGCUUAAUUCACGCACGCGAAAACCUUACCAAGGCUUGACAUACCCGAAACGUCCAGAUGGGCGCCCCCUUGUGGCGGUGUACGGUGGUGCAUGGUGUCUCGCUCGUGUCUGAAUGUGGGUUAAGUCCCCAACGAGCGCCCCUGUCCGCCGCCCUGCUGGGGAUGGAACCGCGGCUGAGGACAGUCAAGUCUCAUGCCCUUG